rnacentral:rRNA from 1 species
CCUACGGGAGGCAGCAGUGAGGAAUAUUGGUCAAUGGACGCAAGUCUGAACCAGCCAUGCCGCGUGCAGGAAGACGGCUCUAUGAGUUGUAAACUGCUUUUGUACGGGGGUAAACGCAGAUACGCGUAUCUGUCUGAAAGUAUCGUACGAAUAAGGAUCAGCUCACUCCGUGCAAGCAGCCGCGGUAAUCCGGAGGAUUCAAGCGUGAUCCGGAUUUAUUGGGUUUAAAGGGUGCGUAGGCGGUCGGAUAAGGUAGAGGUGAAAUUCCGAGGCUCAACUUCGGAAUUGCCUCUGAUACUGUUCGGCAAGAGAGUAGUAGCGGUAGGCGGAAUGUAUGGUGUAGAGGGGAAAUGCUUAGAGAUCAUACAGAACACCGAUUGCGAAGGCAGCUUACCAAGCUACUUCUGACGUUGAGGCACGAAAGCGUGGGGAGCAAACAGGAUUAGAUACCCCUGUAGUC